UCUACCACCAUACCAUCCUGAACACACCUGAUCUCAUCUGAUCUCAGAAGCUAAGCAGGGUUGGGCCUGGUUAGUACUUGGAUGGGAGAACAGAAACACUUAGUCAACUGGAAGAG
rnacentral:rRNA from 1 species